AGUGAACGCUGGCGGUAGGCCUAACACAUGCAAGUCGAACGGCAGCACAGUAAGAGCUUGCUCUUACGGGUGGCGAGUGGCGGACGGGUGAGGAAUACAUCGGAAUCUACUUUUUCGUGGGGGAUAACGUAGGGAAACUUACGCUAAUACCGCAUACGACCUACGGGUGAAAGCAGGGGAUCUUCGGACCUUGCGCGAUUGAAUGAGCCGAUGUCGGAUUAGCUAGUUGGCGGGGUAAAGGCCCACCAAGGCGACGAUCCGUAGCUGGUCUGAGGGGAUGAUCAGCCACACUGGAACUGGGACACGGUCCAGACUCCUACGGGAGGCAGCAGUGGGGAAUAUUGGACAAUGGGCGCAAGCCUGAUCCAGCCAUACCGCGUGGGUGAAGAAGGCCUUCGGGUUGUAAAGCCCUUUUGUUGGGAAAGAAAAGCAGCAGGUUAAUACCCCGCUGUUCUGACGGUACCCAAAGAAUAAGCACCGGCUAACUUCGUG
rnacentral:rRNA from 1 species